AAGUGUUGGUGGGGAGGAGAGGCGGGGGGCCUGGCACGGGCCGGCCAUGGCCAGGAAGCGGAGACUGGAGCAGAAGUGGGGGGGAGAGAUAACCGCCAGCCCCAACGAGCGCACAGAUGCUCUGUGCAGGGUCGGCUAGACAGGUGGUAGCACGAGCCAAGCUGCCAACAGCUAGACUAGGACCAUGAGCAAGUUCUGCAUCCAACGGGCCCAGCACUACCGCUGGGCAUUGAAGAUCUUAGCCAGCAGAGAACUGUUCGACUGGGACUUCUGCUGGAUCUCGACAGCCCGGGCCAGCUGCUGCUUGAGACGCUUGUUCCCUUUGCUAAUCUGGAUUUCCUCUUCGGUACGGCGCUGUACAAAGCCCCAGCUCUUUCCCUCUUGUUCUCUCUGACUGUCCUUCUCCGAAAAGUGCUUGCUCUUCUCCACAUUCUGCAGGUAAAAAUUAGUCUCGCGCUUCGCCUGCGAGACUUCAGCACGCAUGCGCUGCUGCCGCACCUGGCGCUCAUACGCUAGCCUUUCACUCAGGUGAAUCCACUUGAAGCGGUGCAAAUACUGUGAACAAGAUGACAGAGGAACUUGUUAAUACUUUAUAAGACACCAUCACACCACUCCUUGCUGCCCCUUUUCCUUAACCCUACAAGUGUCAUCAAUAUGCAGACAACACUCAACUCUAUCUCAUUUUGUUAUCUUAUCCUAGAGUGGUGGAUGUUCUAUACUGGGGGCUAGAAGCAGUGUGUGAGCAUGUGCAUUCAGAAGGGGCCAUGCUGAUUCAACCUGAGCAGGAUCUAAAAUUAACUGAGCAGACAUUUUUUAAAAAAACCUGUGUGCAUGCACUCAUUCACACGCCUUAGAGGGAACACUGAUACACACCUUCAUAUUCCACAGGUCAUGAUGAAAUCGGCUCUUCUUGCGGGUACCCAUAGACGUGUUGUGCAAACUGGCAGCUACCAACUUUGCCACACGCUUAUCCCGGAAUUCCACCCAGCCUUCUGUGAAGUUCUUGGCAUUGGUACCAGCUUUCUUCUUCUUCUUCCUUAUAAACCGCUCUGGGGGACACAGAAAGAGAGACUAUUGCAUCACAGAGAACCUUGGUAACUAUUCUGGUCCCAAGGAAGAGCUCUUUUUAGAGCUGGGCAACGGGCAAAUCGCACAUUUUAAGCAGCAAGGAAAAAGUGUUCACUUUACUAGAACCCAGAAGCAACCGCUUAUUGCCCCAUAAUGGAACUGCCAAUCAGUUUAUAACAAAACACUACAUUCUACACUCCAAACUUAAGUCGUACAGGAGCUUUAACAGAAAAGCGAGAGCACCGUACCAAAAGAUGCUAGAGCUUGCCUGCACAAUUUAUAACGAAUCAAGUCAAACAUAGCCAUGAAGUCCGUUUCCUGUUCUUCAACAUAGUAUUUUGUCCAUGUCCAUGGUAUUCAACAUAUUUUACUUUGAAGUCUUUCACCCUAGAACUGACUUUAACAAAGGAUUCACACACACCCUCUGCCCUAUCAUCUACUGCCUUCACUGUGCACGCACAAACACACACACACACACACACACUCACCUUCAGGCUGCAGGAAAAUACGUCCCACUUCACCAUAGCCACUAAGUAGGUUGCGGACAUGCCGAGGACGAAAGCGGGGAGGGAUAUGACCAAGGUAAAUUAUGCCAGGCACCAUCUUUUUUGUGUCAUUUUGCUCAGCAGGAUUCAACAGAGCACCACCUUCUCCCUCCUUGUUCUUUGUCCCUGUCCCGUCUCCUCCUCCUUCUUCACUAUCCAUAAGUAAGUCUUCAUUCACUGGUGUAUGGUGCUGCUCUUCACCCAUGUCAGCCAUCAAUACUGGAUGAUGUGCAGGAAUAGGGCGGCGGGGGUGUCAAAGGAGCUGAGAUGGUGCACAACUGGAAGGACUGCUUUCUUCCAAUAAUAAGAAAGAUAUCCCCAAAUAUCUGCAAGGAUAAAUAAGGCAUUGUUUUGGUUUAUUUAUCAUAUUUAUAUACUGCCUGAUCUAUGUAUCUCUAGGCUAAUAAUCCAAAAUACAAUUGUAACAGAAUAAAAACCAAUUAAACUGUUUAAAUUUUAAUUAAAAGCCUGAGAAAACA